GACGAACGCUGGCGGCGUGCUUAACACAUGCAAGUCGAACGGGCCCGCUCUCUUUUUUGGGGGUGGGUUGAGUGGCGAACGGGUGAGUAUCACGGGAGUAACCUGCCCCCUGCUCCUGGAUAACUGCUUGAAAGGGCGGCUAAUACGGGGUGUGCCGGCUGGUCCGCAUGGGCCUGGUCGGGAUAGUUUCAUCUUCGGGUGUUUCGGUGGGGGAUGGGCUCGCGGCCAGUCAGCUUGUGGGCGGGGUGGUGGCCCACCAAGGCGGUGACGGGUGGCCGGCCUGAGGGGGUGGGCGGCCAGAAUGGGAGUGAGACACGGCCCAGCCUCCGGCGGGAGGCAGCAGGGAGGGGGAUUGCAGGAUGGGCGGAAGACGGAGGCAGCGACAUCGCGUGAGGGAUGGAGGCCGUCGGGUUGUGAAUCUCUGUCUCCGGGGGUGAAGGCCCUGUCCGGUGCGGCGGGGUUGACGGUAGCCGGGGAUGAAGCGCCGGCUAACUACGUG
rnacentral:rRNA from 1 species